rnacentral:rRNA from 1 species
CCUACGGGAGGCAGCAGUGGGGAAUAUUGCACAAUGGGAGAAACCCUGAUGCAGCAACGCCGCGUGAGUGAGGAAGUAUUUCGGUAUGGAAAGCUCUAUCAGCAGGGAAUAGAAAAGAGGGUACCUGCAAGAGAAGCCCCGGCUAACUACGUGCCAGCAGCCGCGGUAAUACGUAGGGGGCAAGCGUUAUCCGGAUUUACUGGGUGUAAAGGGAGCGUAGGCGGAUUUUUAAGUCAGCGGUAAAAUGUCCGGGCUCAACCCGGGCCGGCCGUUGAAACUGGGGAUCUUGAGUGGGCGAGAAGUAUGCGGAAUGCGUGGUGUAGCGGUGAAAUGCAUAGAUAUCACGCAGAACUCCGAUUGCGAAGGCAGCAUACCGGCGCCCGACUGACGCUGAGGCACGAAAGCGUGGGGAUCGAACAGGAUUAGAUACCCCAGUAGUC